AUCUUAUUUAUGUGAACAGUAUCAAGUAUAAUGGUGGGGAUAGUGCGUACACGGCCACAGCCAAACAGAUAUCUGAUGUGUGCAGAGAAACUUUGGCAGAGAAUGAAGAACACCUCCUUCAACUUGAGGAGGGGAUUCGUGCAGCUCAAGAGGCAGCUUUGGAUGCCGUGGAAACGGAUAGUAUCAUGACCAGGUCUUCUAUGAAUGAUACCUCUAUGAUGGGUGCGGACAAUGAAAGUAUAGAUAGUUACAGUGUGAGAGAGAAUAUUACCAUAGUAGAAGACAGUCAUAUGCAGGCAGACGACAGCAAGUUUGAGAUGAUGGAAGAAGAAGAAGACCGCAAAUUUGGAGAUGAAUCACAAAUGGAUACUCCUGAUGGAAACAAGAAUUUGAGAUGACCAAUCACCCGAGCCUGGUCGCUAUGACAACAGCAUGCAAGACUCGCAGUCAGCGUAUGACAACGCAGACAUGCCUCAGUACUACUUUGACAACCAAUCAGGGCUCAAUAGUCGAA